rnacentral:rRNA from 1 species
AAUCAACGCUGGCGGCGUGCCUCAGACAUGCAAGUCGAACGAUUAAAGCUCUCUUCGGAGAGUGUAUAGAGUGGCGCACGGGUGAGUAACACGUAAGUAAUCUACCUUCGAGUGGGGAAUAACGUCCGGAACGGACGCUAAUACCGCAUAAUGCAGCGGCAUCGCAAGAUGACAGUUGUUAAAGAUUUAUCGCUUGAAGAGGAGCUUGCGGCAGAUAGCUAGUUGGUAAGGUAAUGGCUUACCAAGGCUACGAUCUGUAACCGGUCUAAGAGGACGGUCGGUCACACUGACACUGAAUAACGGGUCAGACUCCUACGGGAGGCAGCAGUCGGGAAUUUUGGGCAAUGGGCGAAAGCCUGACCCAGCAACG